UCCAGGAGACGGUGGUUGCAAUGCAUUAUCAACACCCCGCAACCCCAACCCUCCAAUGGAACCCAGAACCCUCCGGAGUUCCUCAGGACCUGUCGGCAUGAGUGAGGCGAACACAUCGUGCGUUGGAGGAAGAGUUGCAGUGACGACAUGGACCACAGGCCAGAAGCCUGAAAUAGAUUCUUUGAGAAUCUUAAAAGUCAAACAACUGGGCCUUGCGGGGAAGACUGAUGACGUGAGAAAAAAAGGAAAAAUUUGAUGGGCAGACGUGAGCGGUGGUGCUGGUGGCGCAGGAUGUCCUGGAGGAGGACGACCUCGACUACCUCAAAGGAGCUGAUUCUAGCCUUGUGCCUGAUGGGGAAACAAGUGCACAUUUGUUGUGCUCUGUCUGAGAUGGAGAAGUGUGCGCCUUGCUGGCGUACUUCAAUUGAUGCCAGCAAGCCCAGCCAGCGAGUGACCGAUAGUGGCCGGUUCUCCCUUCGUGACCUCCCCCCCCCCUUCUGCGGCCGACAAAGCUUGAAAUAUGAUUAAAUGUAAAUGUAAAAUAAGCAA